rnacentral:miRNA from 1 species
GUGAGAGACUGAGAUUUGUGGGGCGAGGGGGGACCUGUCUUGGAAGUGAUUCUGAUGUUUUUCCCACUCCUCCACCAG